UACGGAGGGUGCAAGCGGUAUCCGGAAUCACUGGGUUUAAAGGGUGCGUAGGCGGCUUGAUAAGUCAGGGGUGAAAGCCCGCAGCUUAACUGCGGAACUGCCUUUGAUACUGUCGAGCUUGAAAGGGGUUGAGGUCAGCGGAACGUGACAUGUAGCGGUGAAAUGCAUAGAUAUGUCACAGAACACCGAUUGCGAAGGCAGCUGGCUGGACCUACUUUGACGCUGAGGCACGAAAGCGUGGGGAGCGAUCAGG
rnacentral:rRNA from 1 species